CUGUAGUAUCAGUGAAGUACUUUGGGAUAUUCCAGUACUCGGAUCAGGAGUACUGCGACUCCGGGUACUCUUACAGCGAGGACAGGUGCAUGAGCGACUGCUUCGCGUUUGCAGAUGAUGACAUCACUGAUGACGUGGAGUGCUUCGUCCAGAGCCUCUUCUGGGAUGUGUACAGAGGAGCAGUGCAGUCCUGCAAAUCCAAAAAGACCCUGGACUCCUUUUUUGAGGCCUGUGAUGCUGGAGAAGAGCCUGGGUCUGGAGAACAUCUGGGUGUCUGGUUCUCCAUCUCCAC